rnacentral:tRNA from 1 species
GCCUGUGUGGCGCAAUCGGCUAGCGCGUUCGGCUGUUAACCGAAAGGUUGGAGGUUCGAGCCCUCCCAGAGGCG